UGAAGAGCGCCACCUGUUGUUUGGUUUUCCCGAUAAUGUAUGUGGCGGUAGGCUAGGCCUGUACACCAAGCAUGUUUUGUCAGUUGACAGAGUUUGAAGGUUCUACCAAGGAUGUCAACUGUGGAGCACAUACAGGAUGCAGAGCACACUGAUGACGUAUCACCAUGGCAACGCGUACCGCUCAACAUCACUUGAAUGAGAUUGUACCUGACACCGUUAAUUGUAAAGAGCGCCACCUGUUGUUUGGUUAUCGAUCAAGAUUAUGCAGCAGAUAAUGCAGCGGUAGGCUAUAUAGGCCUGUACGUCAGAGUUACUUCUACAACGACGAUAGGUUCAACCACAACUAUGCGCAGGCCAAAGCCACAGCAGGCAACUACAAGGAAGCAGAGGAGAUUUUUGUGCUCAUUCAGAGUGAGAAGAUCAAGAAUGACUACACGUGUCUCUGGUUGGCAAGAUGCUGCAUCGUGAAUCGUAAGGCCAGACUAGCCUGGGAGUUGUACCUUAAGAUGGAGACGUCUGGCGAAUCGUUCAGCCUGCUGUAGCUCAUUGCCAACGACGGCUACAAGAUGGCCAGUUCUACUAUGCGACCAAGGCUUUCGAUGUCCUGGAAAGAUUGGACCCCAAUCCUGAAUACUGGGAAGGCAAGCGAGGGGCGUGCGUGGGCGUAUUCCAGCAGAUCAUAGCUGGCCAUGAACCAAG